AAUCAGCUGUCGAGUGCAAGGGCACAAGGGAGCUUGACUGCGAGACCUACAAGUCGAGCAGGUGCGAAAGCAGGGCCUAGUGAUCCGGCGGUCCCAUGUGGAUGGGCCGUCGCUCAACGGAUAAAAGGUACCCCGGGGAUAACAGGCUGAUCGGUCCCAAGAGUCCAUAUCGACGGACCGGUUUGGCACCUCGAUGUCGGCUCGUCGCAUCCUGGGGCUGGAGCAGGUCCCAAGGGUUAGGCUGUUCGCCUAUUAAAGCGGUACGCGAGCUGGGUUUAGAACGUCGCGAGACAGUGAAUCGUCUGAAUUGACCGCGCUGUCUAUAAAUUCGGCUAUAUGCUGGAACGUCCGAGUAUCCGCAGGUACUGGCUUCAUGGUCAGUGACAAUCCGAGCGGUGCGGAAAAUCAGCAGGAAAGGCCGGGCCCUCUCGGGCUCGGAAUCCUCAGAGACCAUAUGCCGAACACCGCCGGACAAGGUGGUGAAGAUAUGGUCCGAUCUGCAUGGCGACAUGCAGAGCCAGGCAGAAAUGCCCUGGCCCGUCACCGGUGAAGGUGCUGGUGGCGGUAACAAUCAUGUCGGUCCCUAUCCUCCAUGCGCGCAGGAGCCUUGAGGAGAGCUGUCCCUAGUACGAGAGGACCGGGACGGACGAACCUCUGGUGUGUGAGUUGUCCUGCCAAGGGCACUGCUCAUUGGCCACGUUCGGAAGGGAUAAGCGCUGAAAGCAUCUAAGUGCGAAGCCCACUCCAAGAUGAGGGCUCCCACGGGUAACACCCGGUAAGGACCCCAGCAGACGACUGGGUCGAUAGGCGGGAGGUGUAAGCGCAGCAAUGCGUUCAGCCGACCCGUACUAAUCGUCCGAGGGCUUGAUCG
rnacentral:rRNA from 1 species